CUUCCAUCCCCGAGACUGAGACCCUAACAGGGAUGGAACUCAGGUUGUUGAUGUCAAGCACUAUUAUCAUCAGCCUCCAUCUUUUUAGAUGUUUGCAGCGGUAAAAGUUUGGCCAAGAGCAAAAGGCUCCGCCCCCGGCACCCGAGGACCAAUCGCUGCUCGGGGGGAGGCUCCAGGCCUAUAUAAACGAGUUACGCGCACGUACGUGUCUUUCGAAGGAUCGUAUUCGCGUGAGUCUCUUUAAAUUGUGGGUAUUUGGGUGCUGCUGGGGUCUAGGCCUGACCUUGUAGACCCUCCUUUUCUUGGCGGGGAUCGGGCGUACCAUCCUGCUCCCCGUUAUGUACGGAGGCAGAAGGAAAGGGCUCCGGCCCUCUCGGCGUUAUGUCUUCGGUGCCUGCGGCCUCCCGUUCGCCGGUUCUAUCCUCAGACGCCGGGACACCACUCCCUACGCAGAAAUGUAGCCAGACCCGGCAGUCCCCUCUAUGCGAUAGUCACGCUCUUUUAUUUUGAUUUCAGGUCGUGGAUGACGCCCCGGGAGUGAUAGUUAAUGUUUUCCUUCGCGGUUUAUUGUUGAACCAAUAAAGUCAGUGAACGCUAA